rnacentral:lncRNA from 1 species
AUAACCCAUGGUAAGCUCAAGUGACUGCUUCGUGCCUGGGAUGCUCUGCUUCCUCAUCGGUGCCUGUGGAGUAUUUAGAAGAUCUGCCUUUCGAGGACAGGAGCACUCAGAAGCCAGAGUUUGGUUCAUCUUUCUACAAAGAAAGAAUAAGUGUGUUCAUAAUUAGAAAGAAUUCAUUGUAACAGAGCCUUCACCUUACCAGAAUUACAGGACGGCACCACCGUACCCAGCUUCCUUUUCAACUUUUGGUCAUAGAGAAGCUGUCAUAGUGUUGUAACUGGUAGGCAACAUAAUUCAUUCAUGUAAUGCACAUUAUGCUAUGACUCUCUGCUUUGUAUUGUAAACAAAGAGAAAACCCUGAAACAAUAAAAAACAAACAGCACAUACUGCUUUUGAAGAGAACCUGAGUACAGCUGCUGGCCACCACAGCAGCAGGCUCACAACCGCCUAGAAGAACAGCUCUAGGGGAUCCAACACAUCUGACGUCUGCCGGCAUCUGCACUCACAUGUACACACUGCCCCCACAACCCACCCAAAACACAGCUACACAUAGUAAAAAUAAUAAAGAAACUGAAAAAUGGAGAUGUAUUCCUUAAUCCUGCUCACCCUGGAGAUGGAGAAUACAAUAUGUUGUUUUAAAAAUGGGUCAAACAUACAAUGCAGACACUAACAAACUUAAUGAAAACUAUAGUCACUGACUGUUGAUUCUGGAAGUAAAGGGUUUUUAUUUUUAUUUUUUGAGCAAUUGUCAUCAUUAUGUCAAAAGUAGUCUAACAUAAUGCUUUCUGAUUUUAGUGUAAGUACCUGUGAUGCAAAGUAUACACAGUUUUCGAUAUAGUAUAUAUGUGUAUAUAUAUGCUAAGUAUAUGUUAUACUGGUAUAUAAUUAGAUGUGUCCAUUUUUAUCCCUUUAGGGCAUAAUUCUUUUUCUUUUUCUUUUUUUUUUUUUUUUUACAUAUUUGAGUUUCCUAGUAUUGGCUAUUUGAAAGCUCCUGAACUAAGCUUUUCCCUAGAGACUAUAAUCAGAAUGAGUAUCCUUGGACCUUCAAGUGCAGUCUCACAAGUGUCAUUUGGCUCUUCAAAAUUGAUAGAAACCUAUAGAAAUAAGGACAAGUCUUUAUUGUUGUUCAAAAGCUCUAAAGGUGUCUGCUAAGUGACUUGGAAAAUAAAUGGAUGAUGUGUACUUAAGACUCCGACUGGCUCCGAGGGAAGGUGUCCUGCUCUGGGAACUUAGGGACUUGUGACAAGAUUCCUCUUCCUCUGGAGAGUAGGAAGCUCCAGGCCCUUUACGAGCGAUCUGAGAGGAAGUGAAGAAAUCCAUUGAUUGAGAAGUAGCAGCAAGCUUGGGAAGUAGUAGUGUACAGCUUAACAAUGAAGACUAAAUAUAAAAUCAUAGGGCAGUUUCUGUAAUAAAAUAUACAAGAGAAGCCUUAGAAGAAAAAUGCAGAAGGAAUAAGCAAAACGUAGAACACGGUUACUGAAUUUUGCUGAUAUAUUUAGAACUUGUCGACCUAUUUCCAAUUAGUAUAGUCGAUUAAUGGUAUUUUAGCCCACAUUGAGGAGAUUUAGUUCUGAUGUCAUUGCUGUUCAGUUCCAUAUCUUUAAAUGCUAAUUUCACAAGGCAGGAAAAUAUAAAAGAGCUACAUGUGUUUAAUUCAUUUUGUUCUUGCAGUGUAGCUUGAAAUUCUAUUGUUAUAGCUGAAAUAAGCUUUCAGAUGGGAGGCACAAGAAAACAGAAAUGGUAUUUAAAUAUCUAGUUUUAGUCAUAAGAAAAGUAAUUUUCCUUAUUUUGCUAUUACCUCAAAUCUGUAUCUGGUAGAUUGAUCUUGGUGUACACACAAACACACAAAAAUCAAACAAACAAAUAAAGAAAAAAUUAUUAUUUCUU